CAGGGUUAUUUUUCUAUCCCUCAUUUAAUAUCUUCACUGGUUACCAAACCUUUGACUCCAGUGACAUUCCACUGUGUGGGUUUGGUGACUUUUUGCUGAAGAGCCCUGUGGAUUUUCACAGCACAGAACAUAUGGGCCUGUCUGCUGCCUGUAGCAUUUCUCUCCAAUGAGAGAAAAUUAAACAAUUGCAGGUGGGUUUUGUGCCUGUGUGUAAUAAAUACUAUCAAGAUAUCAAUCACUGGUUAAGGUAACCUUUUGGACUGCACAAAAAGAAUCCCUGUAGUCUCUCAAUGACUAUUUAUCAUUCUUUUUGAGAGUGAUUUUGAUCCAAAUCGAUUCUUUUCUUGUGCUACUCUAUUUUUAUGCCCUAGUCCAUCUUUAAUAUACACCGUGGCACUAUCUCUUCUUGAGCAUGCAAGGACUUUGAUGAAUGCACUCCAGCCACCACAGUUUUUUCAUACCAGGUAUCUAUUGAUUCCCAUAAUAUCAACUUUCACCACUGGCACCACUUGUUAGAAUUCCUCUGCUUGGUUUUAAAAGCCGUCUGUGCUGCUCAGCUCUUUCCCAGCAGCUCUUUUCAGGAUUCUCUGUGGAUUCUUUGAUCAAUCCCACCUGCCCAGCUCAGGAAGGACGUGUCCCAGUUCCUGCAGCUCCCCAGUGAGGUUAUCUGCUGUUUAUUCCUCUGUGAAGCUGGCAGGUCUGAAUAAUCAGCUUUUAAAGAUAAAGUCUGAGCUUCUGUUAUUUUUGCCAAGUUACUUUCCAUAGUGGCAGACUACAGUCCAAGGCCUGAGUUCCAGGUGGACCAGAGGUAAUACCAGUCACCCAUCCGUGCUGGCAGGGAAGCAGCAGAGGAAUACAAAACUGCACAAAAAUGCUAAUUCUCAUUAUUCUGCUGCUGUCCCUGCAAAAUUCAGCUGUUCCAUACUGUGCCCUAUGAGUUCCAGUUGUGACCUGAUUCCAUUAAAAUAAAACAGGAUAUCUGUUAAAAGUUUUUUUCUGG
rnacentral:lncRNA from 1 species